rnacentral:tRNA from 1 species
GGGCCCUUAGCUCAACUGGCUAGAGCACCGGUUUUGCAUACCGGAGGUUAGGAGUUCGACUCUCCUAGGGUCCA